AGCUUUGUGCAGUGGCAGUAUGGUAGCCAAUGAGGUUUAUCCGAGGCGCGAUUAUUGCUGAUUGAAAACUAUAUUGUACACCUGAAACUAAUAUACCACUGUAUGUUAACUCUACCUGAAUUAAAAUAAACAAUAAAAAAGUUUU